CCCCCUCGCCGGGCCGGGGCUCCCCCGGGUCCCCCUCGCUCUGCCGGGGCCGGCCGGGCCCGGGGCGGCGGGGCUGCGCUCAGGCACGGGCAGCGUGGGAAUGGCAGUCGGCUUCCUGCUCUCGUGGUGGGUGAAUAGCUGUCAGGAAUAGCGGGGAUUUCGGCAGGAUGCUGGGAAAAGCUCUACUUUAAAUAGAGGAUCGCCCUACACGUCCGUGUUGCAGGAUCAGGCUCCGAGUGACAAGUGCCACGGAAGACAAAGGCUCCGCUGCACCUUCCUCCUGGAGAAGUGCAGGUUUCAUGCCCAGCUUUCUGCCUGCAGAGUCUCUGCCAUGCUGUUGAGCCAGGACCCUAAUUACAGCAGGUACCUGCGAUGUGGUGUGGCUGCCUUUCCAGCUGCUGCCCUCCUCUCUUCCUGUGCAUGCUGCUGCCCCUGUGAGGCUGGGGGGUGCAGUCCUGCCCGGAAAAGGUGGACCAAGUAUUUGUGUUACUAUCAGGCAGGGUUUAAAUGGAAAGACAUGAAUUGUGGUCCUUACCAGAAGCUGAUCCUGUUCAGCGUGUGCAGAGCUGUGACCAAGAAUAUCAAUAAAGUGUUAUGUCUGUGAGGGAUUUCUUUCCUUAACCUCAAUCAAAAAAAAAAAAAAUAUCACUCAUUUUAUGUUCUACACAUUUUUAAGUGUGUCUUUCAAGAUUAUGGCCUCGGGGUGAAAAUUAUUUGAAAGUGUGACUUUCUAGUGAUAAAAACACUUUACCUGGCAGAAUUGUUGAGCCACAUGUGAAGAGUCUGCUUUUCUACAAGGUCAUUUUGGUUCACCACAAUGAAUAUUGUUGUGUUCCUAGUGAGGUGAGAACUCGACAGCAGCUCACAUUGGGGAGGGCACCCAUUGAGGACACCCUGAGCACCACUAAUCAAGUCCCUGGCACUGCAGUCCCGUCUCUGGUGGUGGACCUGAUGGAGCCUCAGUCUGCCUUGCAGCCAGCACGGCUGGGCUGUGUGUGAGGGCAUUCCAUCACAGGGAAUGUGUGUAGGAUGGGGCUUUCCAUCAGCCAUCACUGCUAGGCCAGGUGAAGCCCAUUACAAAACUGAGCCUUAGCUCUGGUAUUUCAAAUUCACUCAAACAUUUUUGUCAGGUUAAAGCUGCAUUGAGAGGUCUUAGAGAGAAGGAGGCAUUACCUGUUCACUCUGCUCCAGCUUUCUGCUCAACCUUGCCUCUGCUCUCCUUUGCCCUUGGCAGGAAGACACGGGGCCAAUAUAAGGUCCCUGUUGUGCACUCUGGCAACUCCACAGUUGGCAUGAAGGACUGUGAAAGUACUGCCUGAGCCAGUUUUCAUCCUGGCAGGAGCAGAGGUAUGAUAAUGGAUAAUUAAUGCUAAUGAGAAGCGGGGUGCAAAGCUGAGCGUGUCCAGCUAAUCACCGCUGGCACCUCAACUGGUCUGCUAAAACCUGUGCUGUUCUGGACAGUCCUGUGUGGUCCUGUACCAGCCUUUGCAAACUCAUUACCCACAUGAAAGCCAGUAUUUGUAAAAUGUGUGAGCAAACAGAACUGGGUACAAAUACAUAUUCCUUAGAAGCCUUUCUUGUUUGAUAUGCAUGGCAAAUGAGUUACUCCUCUGUCUCACGCCUUUUGCAAAUGAAUUGGGCUGUCCUGACCUGGAAAAUAUUGUUAUCUUGCUGUGUAAUAUCAGUCAGGUUUUAUUCUCUCCCAGGUGAUGAGGUUUGCUUACAUAUGGUGCAUUUUUUAUUUCUUUUAAAAAUACUCAGUUUUUUUCUGAAUUCCUCUUUGAACUGAAGAUGUGUAUGAGCACUGGAGAAAGAGCCUGUGAAUAAGGAAACCAGAAUCUCCUGAUACCAGUAGGGGCCUGCUGUUCAUCUUGCAACCAGAAGCAUGGACAAUUUCACAGCAGAGUCACUGGGGUGUUUAUCAGAAGCAGCAGAAACGUACCCAGUUAAAAGUUUACACUUCUUUUGCCAAGAGUUUUAGGAGCUUACCAGACUAGGGUUAUAAGGGGAUGUGAGCAGAAAAGCUUUUUAAAAUCAUUGUAAUAAGUAGUGGUACUGAAGACACUCUGCUUGAGAAUAGUCUAAGCACACAGAUGAAGUCUAAGCAGACAGAAGGAGAUCUGGUUGACAGUGUUGGUCUGGUUUAGCAGCUUUCAGAGAAGACUGCUUCUUCCAUCGCAGCUCCAUGCUUCCGAGCAGAGAGCCAGGGUGUGCAUCCUGGUGUUGUUUCCAGAAUCAGUGUGCUAACUGUGGUGCCAAAAGGAUUUGAAUUUGUGCAUUUUAUGUAGAUGGUGUCCUAACUUGGAGUGGGGGACCUUUCUCCAGGAGACAAGGUUAAUGGACCUUCCACCAAACCUGUGUGUGUGAUUGCAUUGAGUUUAAACACUGCCUGUGUUUAAAGAUGCCAUCCACUGGCUGUGGGAUGGCAUCUUGAGGUCCAGUGCCAUCUCUGCUCGGGGACCCUGCAUGGGACAGGAGGGUGUGUCUUCCCUUGGGGGGUGCUCAGUGCCUUCCCUCAUUGAGCUUGCACACACUGGUGCAGUAUUUCUUGGCUACUCAAAAAGGCUGGGUGAGUGGGAUCCCUGGAGUUUUCAUACCUGUUGGGGAGAUUGGGCUGUACUUGAAGUCUCUUGUCUUAAGAACCAUUCUGGCAGGUAAAAGCCCCUUGAUGCUAAGAGCUUUGUAAAAUUUCUGCCGAUGAAACCCCAUGUAUCUCCUCCUGUCCUCUGCUCAUCAUGUGAGUUUCUGGUGGUGGUUUUUCAUGGACCCCUUUCCUACACCCCCCGAGUUCUGAACUUCCUUGUUUGGAAAGGAGAAACACUCAAUUUGCCUUAUUUUGUCAGCUAAGCUGUGCACGAAGGUGUUUCUCCAGCUACUGCCCUUUUAUGCUCUUCCCUCUUCCACCCCACAAGGCUGAGGAGCACAGCGGGUCUGCAGAACUUCGACUGCGAGUGGGUCUGGAGGUCAGCUUGUGGUUACUUAGCCCCAGGAUGUUGAACAAGUCUCCUUCGUAUAUUUUCCCUUAUUUUCUGGUCAGACCUAUAUUUACUUCUCAGGUCUCCCUGUGCCCUCUAAAUCUCCCAGCAUCACUGGUGUAAAUAGGAUUUGCCUGUUCCUGUGAAAUGGGCAUCUCUGUGGCUGCUUGCCCUGCCUUCUCUAGCUCUUUGUGGGACAGGGCUGUCCAGUUGUCAUCGUCUGCAUGCCCAAACCAGCCUUCUCCUCUGCCUUUUUAAUUAAAAAAUGGUUGGCAUCGGGGGCUCUGCAGCAAUGAAAGGGGAACGAUGAAACUUUGAAGAAUUUGGGGCAUAAAGUUGAUCUCUAAAUUUUAAUGUACUCAUUGCACUUAAGCAGUUGAUACAUUUUAUUAUUGAGCAUUCAGGUGACCUAAUUUCCCUUAGUACUGUACAUUUAGCUUUAUACAUCUGCACCUAAUUUGUAAAAAAGGACUUAAUGAGAAACUUCAAACAGUUUAAAUGUCAAUUACAAAGAAAGCGAGGUUUUAAAGUUCCAGUAAUCUGUCCAUAUUGGUCAUCGAAACAUGAUCCCAGGUGGACGUUAAUUCAAGACAGAUGGCAUUCCAAAGGCACAAUUACAAAGAGCUUAUAUAUUUUCAACACUAACAAGCUGUCACGCUAUGUUGUAGCUACACUUCCACUACUGUAUAAGCACAAUUGCUGCUUUAUCUGCUGUGGACUUGGUAAUAAAGGGGUUUGAUUCCCCACUCUUGAUAUUGUCAGUGGGAUUUUUGUGGGGGUGAACCGGAGAGCGGGGUUAGUUAGUGUGAAUAUCUUUCAUCCGCCCAGC